CCUUCUGUGCCUCGAUUUCCUCCUCUGUGAAAGGCCAGUCAUAGAAGAAGCCGCCUGUUUCAAGGGAAAAUGUGGCCUGAACCACGGACCCCUUUUUCUCUCAGCUGUCAGAACAUGAAUUUGUUCUGUCUCACGGGGCAGUGAGGGAAGUGCUCCAACUCCUGGGAGAGAAAUAUCUCAUGGGAAGGGGCUGCGCUUCAACAAAUGUGCCUGUCCCCUCCCCAUCCCGAGGCAUCACCAGCCCUGCACAGUCACCCUACAGUCUGUGGCCUUGGAAUUCUACUCAACCUCCCUGGAACUCAGUUUCCUCAAUCGUCAAGUGAGAAUGCUGACACUGCCCACUCCCUGAGGUGUUGGGAGAUGCUGAGAAUCAAGCAUUAUCAUAGAUCAGUCGUGAGUUUUUAAAAAAAAAAAAACGACGCCAAAAGGUUACAGAUGCGGCCAGAACAGCGGAGAGCAGCCCCCCAAGUCAGCGGCAGAGGCGGGAGCCCACACAGGAGGCCGAGCCGUCCACUUCCUGCCCUUCCACGGGAAAGAAAAGGAGCCCACAGGGCCCGCGGGCCACGUCCCGCUGAAGUCUCAUCAGCUCGCUUGACAAACUGAAACAUUAAAAAUAUUUUAGGCUGGAGUGGCU
rnacentral:lncRNA from 1 species